UGGNGCCUGUUUGAUGAGAGCACUACCUUCC
rnacentral:piRNA from 1 species